rnacentral:rRNA from 1 species
GAGUUUGAUCCUGGCUCAGGAUGAACGCUAGCGGCAGGCUUAACACAUGCAAGUCGAGGGGUAACGAUGGCUUCGGCCAGGCGACGACCGGCGCACGGGUGCGUAACGCGUAUGCAACCUGCCUUAUACAGGGGGAUAGCCCAUGGAAACGUGGAUUAAUACCCCAUAAUAUCGUUGAACCGCAUGGUUUACCGAUUAAAAUUCCGAUGGUAUAAGAUGGGCAUGCGUCUGAUUAGCUAGUUGGUGGGGUAACGGCCCACCAAGGCCACGAUCAGUAGGGGUUCUGAGAGGAUUGUCCCCCACACUGGUACUGAGACACGGACCAGACUCCUACGGGAGGCAGCAGUGAGGAAUAUUGGUCAAUGGGCGCGAGCCUGAACCAGCCAUCCCGCGUGCGGGAUGACGGCCCUAUGGGUUGUAAACUGCUUUUCUACGCCAAGAAACGGCCCUACGUGUAGGGCACUGACGGUAGCGUAGGAAUAAGCAUCGGCUAACUCCGUGCCAGCAGCCGCGGUAC